rnacentral:lncRNA from 1 species
UAGGCUUGUACAACCGUUUGCUCUCCGAACCUCAAUAAACAAACAAAAAACCCACAAUAAUAGAAAAUCCAUCAGCAGUUUCCUUCUCCAUCUAUCCCAAAAAACUCAACAAGAAUCAAAGGCAUUUUCUCGAUUUUUCCCAUCUGCCGUUUAAUUUCACUUGAAGUCACUCUCUUUCUGCAAUUUUGGAUUCUGCCUCCAUUGAAGAACUUCCUGAAAUCAUUUAUAACCCCUGAUUCUAUAGCAUUCAUUUAAAACAAAAUGAGUUGCCUGUUGAAGAAAAAUAAGAACUACUGGUUUGUAUUUCUAUUCCAUUUGAUUUUGCUUUUUAGAUUCAGUUUUUUCACACAUGCAAUUUUGGACCCAAUUGAUUUCUUGGCCCUGCAAUCGAUUCGAAAGAGCUUGGAUGAUUUGCCCGGGUCGAAUUACUUCGCUUCAUGGGAUUUCACUUCGGAGCCGUGCAGUUUUGCGGGUGUGUAUUGUGAUGGAGAUAAAGUGGUUGCCUUAAAUCUCGGUGAUUCUCGAGCUGGGUCACCGGGUAUAACUGGCCGGAUAGACCCAGCGAUCGGAAAAUU